rnacentral:rRNA from 1 species
AUUCUAGCUCCAAUAGCGUAUAUUAAAGUUGUUGCAGUUAAAAAGCUCGUAGUUGGAUUUUGGAUUGUGUCUAAUGGUCUGCCGUGAGGUAUGUACUGUUGGGCGCUUUCUUCUUCUCAAAGACUGUGUGUGCUCUUAAUUGGGUGUGCUCAGGGUUUGGGACUUUUACUGUGAGAAAAUUAGAGUGUUUAAAGCAGGCUUUUGCUUGAAUAUUGCAGCAUGGAAUAAUGGAAUAGGAUCACGAUCUUAUUUUGUUGGUUUCUAGGAUCGAGAUAAUGAUUAAUAGGGAUAGUUGGGGACAUUAAUAUUUAAUUGUCAGAGGUGAAAUUCUUGGAUUUAUGAAAGAUUAACUUCUGCGAAAGCAUUUGUCAAGGAUGUUUUCAUUG